GACGUAGGGUGCAAGCGUUUGUCCGGAUUUAUUGGGCGUAAAGAGCUCGUAGGCAGCUUGUUGCGUCGACUGUGAAAUCCCGAGGCUCAACCUCGGGUCUGCAGUCGAUACGAGCAAACUAGAGUGUUGCAGGGGAGACUGGAAUUCCUGGUGUAGCGGUGAAAUGCGCAGAUAUCAGGAGGAACACCGGUGGCGAAGGCGGGGUCUCUGGGCAACAACUGACGCUGAGGAGCGAAAGCGUGGGGGAGCGAACAGG
rnacentral:rRNA from 1 species